GUGCCUUACCCUACAUCUACCUUGAGUCCUGUCAUAGCAACGCUGUCUCUCAUGGAUGCAACCACACUUCUAAGAUCACAGAUUCACCAACAAUAGACUGGACACCAUCUCCCGCCACAGUCCUGGCCCUACACUACUGUUCCUGCGUCAGACACACGCUCGGCCAAUCAGAUGUCAACCAGCACCCAAAAGACUCCAAUCACAACUCCGGUUGACCAAACCCCAGCUGGCAGAACAUCUGGGUCCUCAUUAGUAAAUUGUGACAUCAGCCAACUCUGCUCCAAUGACAGUGCUUACUUUUGGAUGACUAUAAAUGUGACUGCCAAGAGCAUCAGUAAGACUGAACAAGAUGUUCACAACUUGGUGUCAAAUGCAUUCAGUUGCCGCCACUAAUAGAAGUGAUACUGCACAGCGGGUAACAGACUUUAUAGAUUUCUGUCAAGGUGACAAAUUCAUUCAGACAGUACAGGUAAACUGCAGUGCAAAAAGUAACAUAAGACAAACAACCUGCGAUGUGCUGCUGCAGCUCAGCCGCGCUGUUUCAGCAUGUGAACUGCAGCGUGCUGGAGACUCUGCACUGCAGCAAGCUGCUGACACACAAAUAGAAGUGAGAAUCACAGGAGAGGUGGAGAGAGUCGGUCGGGGGUAUUUGUGGGGAUGUGGAGCCCUCGAGUGGCAGGUUGUGAGGUGUACAUCCACUUCUUCACUGGAUGAUAUUUGUCAAGCUAACACAAACCCCAAGCUGA